rnacentral:rRNA from 1 species
GCUAACUUCGUGCCAGCAGCCGCGGUAAUACGAAGGGACCUAGCGUAGUUCGGAAUUACUGGGCUAAAGAGUUCGUAGGUNUGAAAAAGUUAGUGGUGAAAUCCCAGAGCUUAACUCUGGAACUGCCAUUAAAACUUUUCAGCUAGAGUAUGAUAGAGGAAAGCAGAAUUUCUAGUGUAGAGGUGAAAUCCGUAGAUAUUAGAAAGAAUACCAAUUGCGAAGGCAGCUUUCUGGAUCAUUACUGACACUGAGGAACGAAAGCAUGGGUAGCGAAGAGGAUUAGAUACCCUCGUAGUCCAUGCCGUAAACGAUGUGUGUUAGACGUUGGAAAUUUAUUUUCAGUGUCGCAGGGAAACCGAUAAACACACCGCCUGGGGAGUACGACCGCAAGGUUAAAACUCAAAUGAAUUGACGGGGACCCGCACAAGUAGUGGAGCAUGUGGUUUAAUUCGAAGAUACGCGCAGAACCUUACCAACACUUGACAUGUUCGUCGCGACUCUAAGAGAUUAGAGUUUUCGGUUCGGCCGGACGAAACACAGGUGCUGCAUGGCUGUCGUCAGCUCGUGUCGUGAGAUGUUGGGUUAAGUCCCGCAACGAGCGCAACCCUCACUUUUAGUUGCCAUCAUUAAGUUGGGCACUCUGAAAGAACUGCCAGUGAUAAGCUGGAGGAAGGUGGGGAUGACGUCAAGUCCUCAUGGCCCUUACGUGUUGGGCUACACACGUGCUACAAUGGUAUCUACAACAGGAAGCAAGACUGCGAAGUUAAGCAAAUCCCUAAAAGAUACCUCAGUUCGGAUUGCACUCUGCAAUUCGAGUGCAUGAAGCUGGAAUUACUAGUAAUCGUGGAUCAGCGUGCCACGGUGAAUGCGUUCCCGGGUCUUGUACACACCGCCCGUCACACCAUGGGAGUUGGUUCUACCUUAAGGCAAGGUUUUAAACCCUUGACCACGGUAUAGUCAGCGACUGGGGUGAAGUCGUAACAAGGUAGCCGUA